ensembl:lincRNA Gm13391 predicted gene 13391
CACACACACCAUGUGAGCAUGAAGGAAGAGCUGAGAAGCAAUCCCAGAGACAAGGGGAAAGGCACCAAGCAAGACCCUUCUUGUCGUCAGAAGGAGCAGACCCAUACUGUACUUUUUUGUUGGAUUUCCAGCCUCAGAGUGCCACUCCUACCCUGUUCUGUGCCGGUUAGGGAAGAAGAACUUCUGUUGUGUCCAUGAACAGAGAACAGCAGCGGUCUCUAACUUCCGCACAGGGGAACCUGCAGGUGUCGGAGACAGUGGAAUGGCCUCGGAUGAUGAAUCAGGGAGGCUGUGUCCUCUGCUCUCUGGCCCUCCACCGUUCAUUCUCCUGUGUAAGUGCCAGUGUGUGUUUCUUUCUCCAGCCUCACGCUCUAAACAAGAUGCCUCUGGCAGAGGCCCGGGUAGAUGGAGUCUCUCAAGUCCAGUGCAACUUCAUUGUCCCUGACUUAUGAAGAGAGCUGGAAGGAGUGACAGAAAGGCCAUGAGGAGACCUGGUUUCUUGAACCAUAUGAAUCAGUGCCCACCAAGUGUCCUGCAGAGACCCUGUUGCUGGCCCUGGCCCGGGCCCUGUGCCGGCUGACAUCUACUUUAAGUCGAAGUGUUUACUCAUCAAGACGUCUUUGCCGACACGCACACUUGCCUGAAGACAUCACGCACACAUGCGUAAGCACUCACGUGGACCCGAGGGUUUGCAGCCUCACAGGAACAGUGCUCGUGGAGGAAGUCCUGUGUGACUCAUUCUGUUUGUGUGCUUGGCUGAUGUUUCCGGUUUCCAUGUAAUUUGCUCCUUUUGUAUCAAGACAGAAGUAACGGUG